UUUGCUAGGCUAAGCUAAUGCUUGGGGCGUCAGACAGAGUUACAGCACGCACGGAGAUGCAAAGGGUAUGUAUGGACUUGUCUAUUUCUGGGGGUAACGGUGAAUAAGCUAAAGUCCCAAUAAGUCGGCGUGUUCCUUUAAGUACCACAGUUUGGG